rnacentral:rRNA from 1 species
AUUGAACGCUGGCGGCAUGCUUUACACAUGCAAGUCGAACGGUAGAGGGGGCAACCCCUUGAGAGUGGCGAACGGGUGAGUAAUGCAUCGGAACGUGCCCAGUCGUGGGGGAUAACGCAGCGAAAGCUGUGCUAAUACCGCAUACGAUCUCUGGAUGAAAGCGGGGGACCGAAAGGCCUCGCGCGAUUGGAGCGGCCGAUGUCAGAUUAGGUAGUUGGUGGGGUAAAGGCGCACCAAGCCAACGAUCUGUAGCUGGUCUGAGAGGACGACCAGCCACACUGGGACUGAGACACGGCCCAGACUCCUACGGGAGGCAGCAGUGGGGAAUUUUGGAGAAUGGGCGCAAGCGUGAUCCAGCAAUGCCGCGUGCAGGAAGAAGGCCUUCGGGUUGUAAACUGCUUUGGUACGGAGCGAAACGGUCCUCUCUAAUACAGGGGGCUAAUGACGGUACCGUAAGAAUAAGCACCGGCUAACUACGUGCCAGCCGCCGCGGUAA